UUACUUUAGCAGUAUACAUACCACAAUUGGAAUGAUAUAGAGAAGACUGGCAUGGUACCUGCCCAAGGAUGAUAUGAAAAUUUGUGAAGCACUCUAUAUUUUU
ensembl:snRNA U6 U6 spliceosomal RNA